rnacentral:rRNA from 1 species
GACGAACGCUGGCGGCGUGGAUUAGGCAUGCAAGUCGAACGGUAUCAUCCUUUCGGGGGUGAGAGAGUGGCGAACUGGUGAGUAACACGUAGGUGAUCUACCCUCAAGAUUGGGACAACCCAGGGAAACUUGGGCUAAUACCGGAUGAAAGCAGCAGUGAUGUUGUUUGAAAGGUGGCGUAAGCUGCCGUUUGGGGAUGAGCCUGCGCUCUAUUAGUUAGUUGGCGGGGUAAAGGCCCACCAAGGCGAUGAUAGAUAGGCGGCCUUAACGGGUGGUCGCCCACACUGGGAUUGAGAUACGGCCCAGACUCCUACGGGAGGCAGCAGUCGAGAAUAGUCUACAAUGGCCGAAAGGCUGAUAGUGCGACGCCGCGUGAACGAAGAAGCCCUUCGGGGUGUAAAGUUCUUUUAUAUGUGAGCAGUGCUUUCUAUGUGAACAGCAAUGGGGAAGAGAUAAUUAGCAUAUGAAAUAAAGCAAACGGCUAAACUCCGUGCC